rnacentral:rRNA from 1 species
CUCGUAGGCGGUUUGUCGCGUCUGUCGUGAAAGUCCGGGGCUUAACCCCGGAUCUGCGGUGGGUACGGGCAGACUAGAGUGCAGUAGGGUAACUGGAAUUCCUGGUGUAGCGGUGAAAUGCGCAGAUAUCAGGAGGAACACCGAUGGCGAAGGCAGGUUACUGGGCAGUUACUGACGCUGAGGAGCGAAAGCAUGGGUAGCGAACA